ACCGGGAGAUAGCUGGUUCUCCCCGAAAGCUAUUUAGGUAGCGCCUCGUGAAUUCAUCUCCGGGGGUAGAGCACUGUUUCGGCAAGGGGGUCAUCCCGACUUACCAACCCGAUGCAAACUGCGAAUACCGGAGAAUGUUAUCACGGGAGACACACGGCGGGUGCUAACGUCCGUCGUGAAGAGGGAAACAACCCAGACCGCCAGCUAAGGUCCCAAAGUCAUGGUUAAGUGGGAAACGAUGUGGGAAGGCCCAGACAGCCAGGAUGUUGGCUUAGAAGCAGCCAUCAUUUAAAGAAAGCGUAAUAGCUCACUGGUCGAGUCGGCCUGCGCGGAAGAUGUAACGGGGCUAAACCAUGCACCGAAGCUGCGGCAGCGACGCUUAUGCGUUGUUGGGUAGGGGAGCGUUCUGUAAGCCUGUGAAGGUGUGCUGUGAGGCAUGCUGGAGGUAUCAGAAGUGCGAAUGCUGACAUAAGUAACGAUAAAGCGGGUGAAAAGCCCGCUCGCCGGAAGACCAAGGGUUCCUGUCCAACGUUAAUCGGGGCAGGGUGAGUCGACCCCUAAGGCGAGGCCGAAAGGCGUAGUCGAUGGGAAACAGGUUAAUAUUCCUGUACUUGGUGUUACUGCGAAGGGGGGACGGAGAAGGCUAUGUUGGCCGGGCGACGGUUGUCCCGGUUUAAGCGUGUAGGCUGGUUUUCCAGGCAAAUCCGGAAAAUCAAGGCUGAGGCGUGAUGACGAGGCACUACGGUGCUGAAGCAACAAAUGCCCUGCUUCCAGGAAAAGCCUCUAAGCAUCAGGUAACAUCAAAUCGUACCCCAAACCGACACAGGUGGUCAGGUAGAGAAUACCAAGGCGCUUGAGAGAACUCGGGUGAAGGAACUAGGCAAAAUGGUGCCGUAACUUCGGGAGAAGGCACGCUGAUAUGUAGGUGAGGUCCCUCGCGGAUGGAGCUGAAAUCAGUCGAAGAUACCAGCUGGCUGCAACUGUUUAUUAAAAACACAGCACUGUGCAAACACGAAAGUGGACGUAUACGGUGUGACGCCUGCCCGGUGCCGGAAGGUUAAUUGAUGGGGUUAGCGGUAACGCGAAGCUCUUGAUCGAAGCCCCGGUAAACGGCGGCCGUAACUAUAACGGUCCUAAGGUAGCGAAAUUCCUUGUCGGGUAAGUUCCGACCUGCACGAAUGGCGUAAUGAUGGCCAGGCUGUCUCCACCCGAGACUCAGUGAAAUUGAACUCGCUGUGAAGAUGCAGUGUACCCGCGGCAAGACGGAAAGACCCCGUGAACCUUUACUAUAGCUUGACACUGAACAUUGAGCCUUGAUGUGUAGGAUAGGUGGGAGGCUUUGAAGUGUGGACGCCAGUCUGCAUGGAGCCGACCUUGAAAUACCACCCUUUAAUGUUUGAUGUUCUAACGUUGACCCGUAAUCCGGGUUGCGGACAGUGUCUGGUGGGUAGUUUGACUGGGGCGGUCUCCUCCUAAAGAGUAACGGAGGAGCACGAAGGUUGGCUAAUCCUGGUCGGACAUCAGGAGGUUAGUGCAAUGGCAUAAGCCAGCUUGACUGCGAGCGUGACGGCGCGAGCAGGUGCGAAAGCAGGUCAUAGUGAUCCGGUGGUUCUGAAUGGAAGGGCCAUCGCUCAACGGAUAAAAGGUACUCCGGGGAUAACAGGCUGAUACCGCCCAAGAGUUCAUAUCGACGGCGGUGUUUGGCACCUCGAUGUCGGCUCAUCACAUCCUGGGGCUGAAGUAGGUCCCAAGGGUAUGGCUGUUCGCCAUUUAAAGUGGUACGCGAGCUGGGUUUAGAACGUCGUGAGACAGUUCGGUCCCUAUCUGCCGUGGGCGCUGGAGAACUGAGGGGGGCUGCUCCUAGUACGAGAGGACCGGAGUGGACGCAUCACUGGUGUUCGGGUUGUCAUGCCAAUGGCACUGCCCGGUAGCUAAAUGCGGAAGAGAUAAGUGCUGAAAGCAUCUAAGCACGAAACUUGCCCCGAGAUGAGUUCUCCCUGACUCCUUGAGAGUCCUGAAGGAACGUUGAAGA
rnacentral:rRNA from 1 species